GAAUAAUAUUCAAUUAUGAAAUCUAAUUUGCUGUUAGAAAGUGCCUUAGGCUUAUUUUAA
rnacentral:tRNA from 1 species